rnacentral:rRNA from 1 species
UACGUAGGGGGGCAAGCGUUAUCCGGAUUUAUUGGGCGUAAAGAGCUCGUAGGCGGCCGUUCGCGUCGGAUGUGAAAGCUCAGGGCUCAACUCUGAGAUGCCAUUCGAUACGGGACGGCUAGAGGUAGGUAGGGGAGAGUGGAAUUCCUGGUGUAGCGGUGAAAUGCGCAGAUAUCAGGAGGAACACCGGUGGCGAAGGCGGCUCUCUGGGCUUUACCUGACGCUGAGACGCGAAAGCGUGGGGAGCAAACAGG